ensembl:lncRNA
GUCUAAUGCUGCUGUUGUAUGGGCUGCGUUGGUAGACAAAAAAAAGAAGCAUACAUGACAUUUAAAUAACACCUGCCCUAGCAUUGUCUGUCUCUGUCAGGAGGAGGAGGUAACGUCAAAGACGUUGGCGCAUUCUCCACAUUUGCUGCAUUCACGGACCCAUAUUGCAGGAUUGCACAACUAAACAAAAUAUGUUUAAACACAACAGGUACUUUAUUUCACACUUCAAAGCGGGAUGUUUUUGGCGGGUGACAAGCGGCAGCUGUCGCGAUCGUCAUUUCCGAUGACAAAACCGAAGACUAUUGGAGAAUGUCCCAUUUGCAGGAAAGUAUUAUCUUUUGUGGCAAAGCAUCUCAGGGAGAUCCAUUCCCUCCAGAACAUCCGGGAGAGGAGCAUCCUGAACUACCUGGCCACAGGCAGGACUUUGGUCCCCGCCGGACCCUGCCCCCUUCCCGGAUGUUCGCCCCAUCUCCUUUGCGUGGAGAAACACCUGAGGACUCAUUCAGAGCUUCCCAAGGUAAACGUGGAUCGGGAGAUCAAGGCCCUCAAGCGCACUACAGCCAUUAACCAGCUGGCGGCCUUGAGGGCCACUGAUCCCCAUCCACCCAUGGUCAGCACACUCGACCAGCCAGUGGACCAGGCGCAGCAGUCUGACCCGGAGGCGGAAGUAAGCAUGUGCAAGAAGCGCACUUGCGUCAAUGCCCGCCUCCGGGUCCGUGAGCUCGAAAGGGAGCUGGCAGACCUCCGUACUAGGUUGGGCCAGCUCCAGGCCAAGCGCCGGCCUCGACCCCCAGCCCCGGCCCCAAUACCGGCCCCGGAGGAGGAGGAGCCUUUGUCCCUGGAGGAGGAGGAGCCUUCGACCCCGGAGGAGGAAGCCCCGGCCACAGCCAUGGAGGAGGAGGAAGCCCCGGCCCCGGGAACAGCCAAUGAGGAGGAGGAAGCUCCGGCCCCAGCCGGAACCACUGCCACGGAGGAGGAGGAUGCCCCGGCCCCGGCCACAGCCACAGCCACGGCCACGGAGGAGGACGAAGCCCCGGCCCCGGCCACAGCCACGGCCACGGAGGAGGAGGAAGCCCCGGCCACAGCCACGGCCACGGAGGAGGACGAAGCCCCGGCCCCAGCCACAGCCACGGAGGAGGAGCAGGAGAAGCAGCAAACCCUGAAAGCGGUCAAGCGCAAACUACCAUUUGGCACUCUUGGGAAAAAAAGCAAGCUUCAAAAAAAAUCUGCUGCUGCUAAGGAGGAGGAGGAGGAGGAAGAGAAGGAUGGAGGAGGAGGAGGCACCAGGGAUGUGUCGGCCUCACGGGUGUUCAUGUCCCCCCUCAAAGGGAAGAGCAGGGGCUCAACCUUGAGGAACAUAAAGUUUUGGACCUCCAUGGACACUUACCUUGAGGAGUAUGGCAAAUACCUCUUCUGCCCGGAAGGGACAAAGAAGAUGAAAGAGAAUAGUGUGUCGAAGGCCAGCCGAGCAAAGGUGUUCCUCAAAUUCUUGACGCUCAGCUGGCCUUCCAUCAAAUAUUGGACUUGGGAAUUCCUUUUUAAUGUCCCCCUCAUAAAGACCUACCCUGCUGAGAGCGGCUGACCAGGCCCCGACCACACUCGUUUUGUAUGUGGGCCAGGCCAUCUCCUUCAUGGAGUACUUCCGCGAUACCCCGGCUAAAUACUCCCGGGUGACCAACGGCCAGCUGGUCAUGGUCACCCGGGAGUUGAGAAAACUGAUGAAAGACCUCAACAGGAACGUCCUUGGCCAACAGUCCCUGGUGAAACAGGGCAAACAGUUGAGACUGGUGGCCAAGGAGGACCUGGCCAAGUGCCAGCUCCUGGCCAAGGAAAAGUCUCUCUCUCUCUCUCUCUCUCUCCUGUGCCAUAAAAGCUUAAAGUAAAAAGCUUAACUCAUUACAGCGGACAUGAAAGCGGCGGGACCCAAAGACCCGCUACAGAUUAUUUGGGUACCUGGUGGCCUACCUCUCCUCUAUUUACGGGCACAGGUCGGGGGUGCUGACCCGAAUGAGGGUGAAGGAGGUCCAGGACGCCAUCGGGGACAAUGAGAAGGGCUACCUCAUCAAUGUCAUGGAGCACAAGACUGUAAGGAAGUUUGGGGUUGCCCAGGUCUAUCUGGACGCAGACGAGUACGGGUGGUGCAGGGAGUGGCUCCGCCUGAGGCUGCACUCCCUGUCCCAGAACUCAUACUUUUUCACUUCCUUUGGAAGGGGGGAGCCAAAGGACUUCAUAAAGUACUUCCGUCAAGCUUGGGGGGAGAUGGGCCUCCCCGGGUCCCCAAGCUUGAUGGACAUCCGUUCAGCCGUGGCCACAUACAACUUCGAGACCAACAACUCAGAGGUCUUCAGGAGUCUGAGUGAAUUCAUGUGCCACGAUGCCCACACGCAGGAGCGCUUUUAUGCGCUCCACAAGAACUUACCAAGGGCCAAGCAAAUGAGGGACCUCUUUGUCUGCCUGGCACAGCAAGAGCCCUCAUCCGAUUCCUCCUCCUCCCCCGCUCCUGCUGCUGCUGGCUCCUCCUCCCCCGCUCCUGCUGGCUCCUCCUCCCCCGCUCCUGCUGGCUCCUCCUCCCCCGCUCCUGCUGGCUCCUCCUCCCCCGCUCCUGCUGCUGCUGGCUCCUCCUCCUCCUCCUCCUCCACUCCUUGUGCUGGCUCCUUGAAGAAGAGGCUAAGGCCCUCUGUGGCCCAACGGUUGGCCAGAAAGGUCAAAGAGAGAGUGGGGAUUUCUCCCAGAAAGAUCAGGAGGGCAGUCAUUGCCCUGAGAAGACUAACCGUUCAGUAGUUCAGUUCUAUAUAUUUAUUAUUCGUGUUGUGUUUCAGUUCUAUAUAUUUAUAAAUUUUAUGUUUAAGUUCUUAAUAUUUAUUCAUGUUCCGUGUUUUAGUUAUAUAUAUUUAUUCAUGUUGUUUGAGUUCUUAAUAUUUAUUCAUGUUCUGUGUUUCAGUUAUAUAUAUUUAUUCAUGUUGUGUUUUAGUUCUUAAUAUUUAUUCAUGUUCCGUGUUUGAAACGUUUCAAUUAGAGCUGUCAGUUAAACGCGUUAUUAACGGCGUUAACGCAAACCAAAUUUAACGGC